CCAGCUUGAGUCAGUUGGCCUCAGUUUUGCUUUUGGAGGUUUAAGUCGGGUGGUGGGAAGAGAUACAUUUCCAUUCCUGAUAUGGCCACAAGAGGGAGCUCCCAAUGGUCGGCUGCACCUGAAAGUCCUGUCCGUGAAAACUGACAAAGAAAACUUGAUUUAAAAGGCGUCUUCUGAUAAACCUCAGCAUCUCCUUACUAACAUACUAAGAGCAAUCACUGAACACUUUUCGUAUGUUCAAUGCGUCCUCGCGGGAUCUGAGAAGCAUUGUCCUAUUAAAUCUCAGUCGUCUGAUUUUCAGCAUCAAUUUAUCUUGGGAGCUGCUCCUGCAUUUUAUAAGGUGAAUUCUACAGCAACGAGAUUAAAGAUUCAGAAAGUCUUAUUGGCUGUGCAAACUUGAGGGAGUUGCCUAACCACUCUGGGCCCUGUUUUCCUGGCUUUGCCACUCUUCAGCUGUGUGACCCGGGGAAGCUCUCAACCUCUUUGUGCCUCCAUUUCCACAUCUGUAAAAUGGGGAUAUGAAAGUGGCUGCUUUGUGAAGAGUCCUGAGAAUAAAUGAGUUAAGGAAAACUGAUAUGGAUAAAUAUGGAAGAGAGCUGGCCAGUGGAUGAAAUGGUGAUGUAAAGGUUAAGAGAAAUAAAAGCAGGAGACGAGGAGAGAGUCACACCACGGUGAGCAGAGAGUUGAGCUGGGGCCCGGGACAAGCAUCAAAAGUGUCACUUCCUCUGAGGUCCCAACCCUACUUCCAUAGGCUCUGCAGCCCACACCACCUUGGAACCAAACAGGGAGGUGGCAGAACUGAUGGGCUGGCCGCACCACCUUAAAUCUCUUAGCUCCAAAACUGGAGGUGCUCAUCAGGACCCUGCAUCAUUUCUGUGGGUGAUGGAUGGUGUGAGGUAAGGCACAGAGAUCUAGACUUAUUUCUCCUUCCACAACAAUUGUUUCUUGGAAGAGGAAGAAAACUUAGCUGGAUUUUAUCUCUUUGUGUGGAUUUCUGGGGUAGACACCCAGAGGUGUGUGCAGGAGCAUGCUCUUUGGGGCCCACAUAGAGAUUCCAGCAGGUGCUGGAGAUUCUGGGGUAGCCUUUCCAUGACUGCUGGCCUCUUUUCCCCUGUGUUGCUUUGGUUUGCUGUCUGGCUAAAGGCAGGAGUGGGAGAAACUCACAUUCCACAAGAGGCUGCCUGGAGCAGAGGCCAAGAGGGUAAGGUUUGUCCAAGGCCUUCCAUCUCAGCUUUGCUGCCAAUUUGUCAGAAAAAAAAUCAUUUGUGCCAAUUAGACCCUGGUUAGGAAAGUGUUGUCCUGUCUGGGAAGCAGGUACAGAAACCAGUUGCAAGGACAGGAGAUCAAUGAAAGUGACACAUUACUUAUGCCUCCAAUUCUUCUCAGCCCUCAAUUUAGUCUCUGAGACACAGAGAAAAUAAGUGUACUUGCCUUGCUAAUGGGUACAUGGUUGGCUUUGGGCAAUUUAUAUAGAGCACUUUAGUUCCAAGAUGAAAUGCACUGAGAUAUUAGGAUUAGUCUCUGCUUUAAUGAGUUUCUGACUUGCAGGUUUGAAAAAAUUUAGUUCUUUUCUGUAUUUCUCUACAAACACAAAACAAUGAUUUAAUGGUAAAACAACAAUGAAAAGAAACUAGGCCAUUCUCUCCAAAAUGAUUAAAAGGGUACUUCUCCUGACCUGACAUAACCUUUCCUCAUAUGAAUUUAUUAUCUGUAUUCACACUCAUAUUCCACUGGAAUGCCUUGGGUCCAGGUGGAUGGUUGCUUAUGGUUAGUAUCGAUUCUGAGCAGGUAGGCAUUCAUACUGUUUGGUUGACGCCUGUGGUGAACAGACCUUAAGGUGACUUCUUGCACCCCUGAGUCAUUUUCUUGUAUAAUCUCCUCUCUUUGAGGACACAAACUGUGCCCUGCUUCAAACCAGUGGAAUAGAGACAAGGUGAUGAGAUCUUUGGUUAUUGCACCUAACUGCUUCAUUCAUUGCACAAUUAGUCACACGCUGUUUUGUGAUGCAGAACAUUUUUUUUUAAGAGAUGGUAGUCUCACUCUGACACCCAGGUUGGAGUGCAGUGACAUGAUCAGAGCUCACUGCAGCCUCAAACUCCUGGGCUCAAGGGAUCCUCCUGCCUCAGCCUCCUGAGUAGCUGGGACUAGAGGUGCGUGCCACCACACCCAGCUAUUUUUUAUUUUUUGUAGAAAUGGAGUCUCACUUUGUGGCCCAAGCUGGUCUCCAACUCCUGGGCUCAAGUGAUCCUCCCACCUUGGCUUAUCAAAUUGCUGGGAUCACAGGUUUGAGCCACCGUGCUUGGACUGUGAUGCAAAAUUUUAUCUAAACCUUGUAUUGUUGACUAUAGCAUCAUGCACUUACUAUUUUCCCUCUUAACUAGAUUUUAAGUCUCUUGAGGGCAAGAACUCUGUUCUUGAAGAUUUUCAGAAGCCCGAUAGCAUAUGGAAGUACUUGACACACAAUAAGUACACAGUCAUAUGUGAUUUGGUUUCUGAGCCUUCAUUUGUCCAACAAAACCAGAUGGGUCUUAGAUGAAGAUAUACGUGGCAAACACUGCAUGCCUACUGUGGGUCAGGUUAGCUCCCAGACAUGCAGAAAACAAAAGCUCUGUCCUCAGGAGUUCAUGAUGGUUCAACCCAAUCAACGAAGUCUUGCAAUCUCACUUCCUCCUUACCUUGUAGAGUUGGAAGAUAUCCAAAUAUUCCUAGAGUUCUUUGUCAAUCUGUCAGGAUUAUAAUUCCACAGAUCAGGCAGAGUGUAACCAUGAAGCUCUUCAGUGAAUUUUUAGUGACUUUUGGGUGAUUUUUUAGUUUCCAAGUAGAAGAAGCAAAAGACCCUUGUGGUGGUUACCUUCCAUCUAAACAGAGAGUGAGCUACAAAGAUACUGCUGUCCCUCAGUGGCCCAUGGGUGUCCCUGCAAAUCUGUGACUCAAGUGGCCAUAUUCAUAUUAAGCAGACCAGAGAUCAAAACCAUAUUAGGCAUGAACCACUUUUUAUUCAUAGGCUUACCGAAUAUAU
rnacentral:lncRNA from 10 species